GGGAAACCCUUCUCCUUCAUAUUCUGGUUACUAAUCUCUCAGUCUCUAAGUCUCUUGUUCUUGUUCUUAGUCUCUCAUACUCAUAUAAUCUGUCUCCUUAAUCCCUCUAUUAAAUCGCCAUAAACAAAUCCUUAUCUCUCUCCAUUGGAGUUGUUUCACACACAAACACAACCAGAGAUGAGAACUCUAUAAAUCUCACAUGGUAUCAGAGCCAGGUUCAUCAGAACCUGAGCUGUAGCUUCCGCACAACACAAGCUCUACCCUCAGCUCAAAUCAAAUCCUUGAAGACAUUCCCAUCCGAGUUCAGUUUCUCCAUGAGAAGAAGACUGAAGGGUGUGUCUCUCAUUCUUUCUCCUGUCUAUACUGAUGGAGAGACUCAUUGGAAGCAGAAGUGUAUGGAGAGGACUCACGAACCUCAUCCAAGGCGCCUCCUCCAAGAGCUUUGUAUAAUAUUUAGAGAUCCUUAGAGUGAUUAGAAUAUAAGUGAGAGUUUAAGUAGAGAUUAGAAGAGAUUGUGAACGAUUAAGAGACUUGAGAGCCGAUUAGUGUCUAAGAGAGAAUCAUUGUGACUUAAGAGAUUAGA
rnacentral:lncRNA from 1 species